rnacentral:rRNA from 1 species
ACAUACGACCAUGGCUUGUCGAGAACACGAGAUCCCCCCUAGUUAGCCUACCAAGCGCUGGACUAGUAUUAUUGUGGGUGACCGCAUGAGAACCCCCAGUGUUGUAUGUA